rnacentral:rRNA from 1 species
UGGGGAAUAUUGGACGAUGGGCGCAAGCCUGAUCCAGCCAUGCCGCGUGAGUGAUGAAGGCCCUAGGGUUGUAAAGCUCUUUCACCGGUGAAGAUAAUGACGGUAACCGGAGAAGAAGCCCCGGCUAACUUCGUGCCAGCAGCCGCGGUAAUACGAAGGGGGCUAGCGUUGUUCGGAUUUACUGGGCGUAAAGCGCACGUAGGCGGACUUUUAAGUCAGGGGUGAAAUCCCGGGGCUCAACCCCGGAACUGCCUUUGAUACUGGAAGUCUUGAGUAUGGUAGAGGUGAGUGGAAUUCCGAGUGUAGAGGUGAAAUUCGUAGAUAUUCGGAGGAACACCAGUGGCGAAGGCGGCUCACUGGACCAUUACUGACGCUGAGGUGCGAAAGCGUGGGGAGCAAACAGG